UACGUAGGGUGCGGGCGUUAAUCGGAAUUACUGGGCGUAAAGCGUGCGCAGGCGGCCUCUUAAGUCAGAUGUGAAAUCCCCGGGCUUAACCUGGGAACUGCGUUUGAAACUGGGAGGCUAGAGUGUGGAAGAGGGGGGUGGAAUUCCAGGUGUAGCAGUGAAAUGCGUAGAGAUCUGGAGGAACACCGAUGGCGAAGGCAGCCCCCUGGGCUGACACUGACGCUCAUGCACGAAAGCGUGGGGAGCAAACAGGAUUAGAUAACCCCGUAGUCC
rnacentral:rRNA from 1 species